rnacentral:misc_RNA from 1 species
UCGGCUCAUUGAAAUCUAAUGCAUUUGUGUCUGAGAAGGGUCAAAGUAAAUCUUCUGAUGAUUUGCUGGAGCUUUCGGAUGCUUUUGAGUUUCAAGAAAAUGAGAUCCUAAAUGCCAAGGACAAGCUACGGUCUAUACGAGCAAAGAUAGCCGUGAUAGAAGGAAAGAUGGCGCUGACAAUUAUUGAUGCACAAAAGGUGAUAGAGGAGAAACAAAAGAGGAUCAAUUGUGCUCGCAGAGCUUUGCAACUUCUUCGUACUGCUUGCGUGGUCUGG